CGAGCGGCCCGAGCACCCGGGGUGGCCGGUGGCGUGACUUGGGGCGCUGCAGAAGCCUUAAAUAAGCUUUAGGCGGUCACAGCCGGUGCGGUACCUCACAGGCCAGUUGCGCGCCUACAGUGUUUUGAAGUCAGUAUUUUGCUGGACAGACUGUUCGGGGGCCCGGCGGUAUUUGAGGGAAAAGUACUGUGCAGCUGGGUUAGGCCCUAAACCUGUGUUUGCACAGGUACCAGUACUUCCAGUAGUAAUGCAAGUGACUUUCCGGGUUGCAUGGGAGCUCUUCCUUUGGCCCAGGCAAGGGGUUGUGGAGUUCAGCAUGGCUGCUGGUCAGUAGAAGCAGCCAAGUGCCUUCUUUUCCCCUCGCAUCUGGCCAAGGGCCUGCCUGAGAGAUUGCAUUCUUUGGAGGAUCUCUGAGCGCUUCAGAAGGAUUAAUGAAUUAUGCCUCACAGCAGCCCAUAAGGUGUGACCUGAGCCACCCAAAAGAAUAGUUUGUCAGAAAGGAGCUGAGGCCAAGAUUUGGACAAAGGAAGAAACCUUGCAACGUAAAAUCAACCAGUUGCUUUGAAAC